ACUGCGGUUCUAAAAUCAUAAUAUCUGCAUUUAUUCAUAGGCUUCGCGUUGAAUGGGCGCGGGAAAGGGGAAGGGGGGGCGUGGCAGGUCCUGCAUGCAUAAUCUCCGUCCAGGUCGUUGCCUUAACCCACAUCCUAGGUUCAAUCGCCAGACAGAUUUUGUUACUAAAUCGCGACCAAACAGACAGCAGUCGCAAAAGCUGGCUAAAGAGGUUCAAAAGGUGCACUCGCAAAAGGCGGCACGAAAGGAUUACGACUCAUGGCCCACCGCAGCUGGAAUACUCUUACUCUACUUACCAAUCAGUGGAGUGUACCAGUUAUAUAAAGUUUUCCAAAAUCCUUGUAGAGCAACACUUUUUAAAAUAUCGUUGAUUUUGCAUUUCCCAAAUGCAAUUCUAAUCUACCAAGAUCACAUUUUGACCUCAUAUAAUGUGUAUAGAGCUCUGAUAUGAGUCUGAAUGAAAAUGAUGUGUAGUUAGGAUUUCUAAAUCAAUAAAAAAUACAUCAACGUACUUGUUCAUAAUUACUUUGAACUAUACUCAAUUCUAUACUCUCAAUCUAGCAUUUUUCACUUUUUUCCAUGUUUUCAAUUUUAUUUGAAUUAAUGAGUGAUUUCCUGCUCGUAUGAUAGAAAUAGCUGGUAUGCUAUUCCAACUUUUUAUUAGUUUUUUCCCAAUGCUUGAAAGAAAAGUCCCAGCAGUUUUUUAUGAUAUAUUCGAUGCCCCCUCGCCUUUGCGGAACUUUGUGGGGGACAUCCGAUGCGAGCCCGGUUGGUUGUAUGCUCUGGCUUACUGGCUUUCUGGCCAAGAAAAGGCUGCUUGCUGGCAGGCUGCGAUUCGAUCUCUAGCUUCCUUCCAGGUGUUUGUGUUUGUGUUGGCUCACUAGCUGGCUGGCUGGCUGGCUGGCUGUCCUAGGCCAAACCCUUUGUUUUGGCUGGCGAAUUUUCCGGUUUCUUGUUGCCAGGGCGCGCUGUAAGCUGAUUUUCGUUGCUGUGUGUCUACCUUGUCGUAGGUUAGUCACAGCAGGGACCCAGGCUUGUGGCAGGUUUUCUCCCUUUUGCUCCUUUUUUUGUUUUUUUCUCUGUUUUUGCGCCUCUUUUCCAUAUGCCGCUGCUGCAUUUGCAGCAUUUGUUGCUGCGGCUGCUGCUGCUGAUUGAUGGUGUCAAUGACUCGCCGAAGAGGCUUCUUUAUCGCCGCCCGAAGGUCAAGUGUGUGCGCUGAUCCCGUCCAUUAGAGGCUUCUACGCCGUAGAUGAGCCCUCUGCCCAGCUGUACGGGCUUAUCACUCGGGUAAACAAUCCGCACUGAUAGUCAUAGUUCGUUUAACCCAUAGUUCUGGGUGUUCGGUUCUGGGUUCUGUGUUCUGGGUAGGCUGAUCGGGGGAUAAGAGCAGGCAGGCAGAACUACACGAUUAUCUAGCAUAGGAGAUACGCAUAUCUCUCUGUUCGAACUUCGAGCGCAUUUGUGUUUGCCAGUGCUUAGUCACUUUUCGAUGGCCUUAUCUGAGAAGAUGCCCAAUCCAACAAACACGCAGGCAUUUAGGCGAUAGAGAGAGCGAGAUGGUUCGUGAAUCAUCAAACAUAUAAUUGGGUUUCUAUCCAGAAACAGGUUUUCAGAGCAGCGCAUUUCUUGGAUAUUUGGAGCUCCAUUUUCCAAGAAGUACAUCUCCAAUUCUAACGGCCUUGUGUGGGCACUAAAUGCGGCCACGUUCUAUCAUCACAACGAAACACGAAAUGGGAUUCUAAAUAGUUCAACUUUCGCUUGUCGCGAAAAUAGCGAAAAGUGAACGUUCGUGUUGCUUAGACACUUUUCAGCGUAGAAUCCGAAACUGCAAUAGAAUUUUUCUCUAGUAAUUACAUAAGCAUACGAGUAUAAACAAUUGAUAAUAACAAUCAUGGCCACUACGUGCCUGCCUUCCGAGAGCGCUGCUGAAUAUUUAUGCAUUAUCCAACAGGCAGGCACAUUCCCUGCACUGAAAUAAAUGGUACUCCACCCUCAUGCAGUUCUCAAAAUAUCAUAUAAAAUUGGCACAUCCAUCACAUUUGGUUUAUUAUUCGAUUAUGGAGUAUAUGGUAAAUGGAUUUUCAACACAUUUAAGUAGACUUUAUUUCUAAAAGAAUGCAAUAAAACCCCUUCUGGUUUUUCCCUGUGCAGAGCGGCGAGAAAACUUUCUGUAAUAGACGACGAAUCCGUGGAAAUGAAUUUCUCGGCGGCUGUUUUCAAUGAAUGAAACAAUCUAAAAAUAAAAUAAAUAUACGAUGAACAAUGUCUGGGUGACAGAUGCGGGCGGGAUCUCGGCUAUGGGGUGGACUAGAACUAUGGAGCUAUGCCAAUUAGUCGGCCAGAUCCAGCUCCAGCUGAGCGGGCAAAAUCCCACUGCCUCAGCCAACAGCGAGCACAACAAUUGGGCCUUACAUAAGCUGGAAACGACAUUGACACCCACACACCACCCAAAUCCCCGCCACAAUCCGACGUGCGAAAAUGUAGCCAAAAAAACACGGAACAUCGGUAUACGAAUACUCGAAUAUGGGAUAUCUCAUACAUCCGUAUCUUUAAUUAGUAUGAAAUCGAUCUGUGUGUAGAGUAUUAUGUUUGUUACGAACCUCUUAUGAUAGUAAUUAUCGAUGAGACAUUCGAGGGGUAAUUACAAGUUGCAACUCCAGAAAACAAGCCACCCCGCAACUACACAGUAUCGCCAGGGGUUUUUUGAGUGACUCAUUUGAAUGCCAUGACAUUAUUCCGACUUGACGAACAAACGAUAUUGGAAAACAACAAAGCUGCCAAAUAAACUCAACUGCUCAGGGAAAAAUCCGUUGGCGAAAAAUGGGAGAAACACACAAAGAUAAGAGUAUAUUUACUCAAGACUUAACUAAAAGGCGGAAUCCUGACCUUUGCACAAUAAAUACAUUUCCUAUGUGUCUGUGCAACGAUUUCCUUAGGCAAAAUCAAACAGGGGCCGAAAAAUGAAGGCUGCUGGGCGACGUCAAGUCGUCAAGCGAGAUUCAUUCAUAAAAAGCUCCACUCAGCACCUUCGAAUCUGGAAAUUCCCAGUGGUCAAACAAACGCCGUGACCUCCGCAGAUAGACAAUCUUCCAUUUCGUCUGUCAAUCGUAAGAUAUCAUAAAAGUCGCCGAUUACGUAGGCGGCAGCCUGUUGUGUCAUUGGCAUGCGAAAUGGGCUAGGAAAAAGUCCAUUAGAUACACAAAAAGUACACCAAGACGUAUACAAAAGUGAAAUUCGCCCAUUCGACGUUUCGCAAGAAACAGAUAUGAGAAUAGAGGAGAUAAUAGAUAAACAUAAAUACGUUUCCCAAACCGUAAGCCGUAAGCCCAUCUUCGCUGAUUGCGCACUGACACAGUUUUGGGGACAACACUCAAACAACAAGCAAUUGAAAACUGCUCAUCGAAUCACAAUCACAAUCACUGGGGAAUCGGGCCACCAGUCCCCAAUAAACAAAGCGGAAGAAUGUCUCGAUUGAUCCCCAUUGUCUGGGGGCGAUUAAAGGGGUGUGGCCUUCGAGUUGGAAACAAGGCAGGCAGGUUCUUACAAAGAAUUUUCGGGGAUCGGAUUACUCACUGUGCAUCUGGUUCUGGGUUCUGGUGUACAAGCGGGAGAAAUGGCAAUUAAAAUCCGAUGCUCCGGUUUAAAUAACUGCAUUGAAUAAUCUAAGAAUUUAUUGAACAUA